CCUACGGGUGGCUGCAGUGGGGAAUAUUGGACAAUGGGCGAAAGCCUGAUCCAGCCAUGCCGCGUGUGUGAAGAAGGCCUUCGGGUUGUAAAGCACUUUCAGUGGGGAAGAAAGCCUAGGGGCUAAUACCCUCGAGGAAGGACAUCACCCACAGAAGAAGCACCGGCUAACUCCGUGCCAGCAGCCGCGGUAAUACGGAGGGUGCGAGCGUUAAUCGGAAUUACUGGGCGUAAAGCGCGCGUAGGCGGUCUGAUAAGCCGGUUGUGAAAGCCCCGGGCUCAACCUGGGAACGGCAUCCGGAACUGUCAGGCUAGAGUGCAGGAGAGGAAGGUAGAAUUCCCGGUGUAGCGGUGAAAUGCGUAGAGAUCGGGAGGAAUACCAGUGGCGAAGGCGGCCUUCUGGACUGACACUGACGCUGAGGUGCGAAAGCGUGGGUAGCAAACAGGAUUAGAUACCCUAGUAGUC
rnacentral:rRNA from 1 species